CCUACGGGCGGCUGUAGUGGGGAAUAUUGGACAAUGGGCGAAAGCCUGAUCCAGCCAUGCCGCGUGUGUGAAGAAGGCCUUCGGGUUGUAAAGCACUUUCAGUGGGGAAGAAAGCCUUGGGGCUAAUACCCUCGAGGAAGGACAUCACCCACAGAAGAAGCACCGGCUAACUCCGUGCCAGCAGCCGCGGUAAUACGGAGGGUGCGAGCGUUAAUCGGAAUUACUGGGCGUAAAGCGCGCGUAGGCGGUCUGAUAAGCCGGUUGUGAAAGCCCCGGGCUCAACCUGGGAACGGCAUCCGGAACUGUCAGGCUAGAGUGCAGGAGAGGAAGGUAGAAUUCCCGGUGUAGCGGUGAAAUGCGUAGAGAUCGGGAGGAAUACCAGUGGCGAAGGCGGCCUUCUGGACUGACACUGACGCUGAGGUGCGAAAGCGUGGGUAGCAAACAGGAUUAGAUACCCGGGUAGUC
rnacentral:rRNA from 1 species